AUGGAUUGUUGACGACAGUUAGCGCGUCAAUUUGUGAACCGCAAGAGCACGGAUCAUCAUAGCUUUUCCCUUUGAGUAUUCCAUCCAUGAUUUAUCAAUCCGUGGAUCGGCAGGGAACUGACUAGGGUCUUCUAUCUAAUAAGCAACAAGAGUUUAUCAUCUUCUAGUUGUAAUUCUAGCUAAUAAGCAAGCAUAACAUGCAUCUCAUCCAAAACAAUCUUUAAACUAAUACCUCCG
rnacentral:lncRNA from 1 species